rnacentral:lncRNA from 1 species
CAAUCAAGAAUUUCUCAUCAGUCAUGUUUAAAACCCCCAGCCUGUAGGCCGAGUUCCCGUCAGCUAUCCAUUCAAGGGUACAUCAAGAGUCAAAGGAAGCCAACAAGGGGAAUCCGCGACCCCCCGGGAAACAGGCCGGGGAGAAAGGCCCUGGGGUCGGGGCAGAAGCUUCCAAAAUUACUCGGCGCAGCCUUUGUAGGAGGGAAGAAAGCAAAAAAUGUACAAGGCACCCCCCGCCGCCCUCUUGAUGGCCCUGAAUUCCGGGGGGCGCGGGGAUGCCAGCCGCACCUCCCGCGGAGGGAUGACGGGGCGAGCGACCCCAGGACGCGCGGGCCGAGGGCCCGGCAGGAAGCGGCGGCAACGGCCAGUCCGGUCCCCGGGGACCCACUUGCCUCCCCGCGGCGCGGCCUGAGGGCCCGAGCGCGCGGCGGCUCGCGCGGCGGGCAGGGUGAGCGCCCGGGGGCCGGGCCGGGUCCGGUGGGGCGGCGGGGACUGGGGGUCGCCGGGCAUCCACGGGCCCCGCGGCCAGGCUGGCCCGCGGGUGCGGGGACCCGGGGGAAGGGCCGAGGCUGGGGGGGCGCAGGCCGCGCCGCGGGGCCGGUGACAGCGCUCGGGGGCCGUGCCAGGCCGGCCUCGUGGGCGCGGCGGGCACCUCGCGGCCGGGCCCGGCAGGUGCGGUUCGCCGGCCGGGCGGGGGGCGCGACGGCCCGACUCUCACCUGGCUGCAGCUCGCUGGGCUCCCGUCCUGCCGCCGCGCCUCGGCGCCGCAGUGCCCGCCGCCGCCUCCGGUCCCCGCGACAGCCGCCUGCAAAAUGGCGCCGCGGAGGGGCGGGCCGGGGGCGGGGAGCCGCGGAGCCGCCCGCCCCCGCGCCGGCCCGGGACCCACCUCCCUCUCCGCCCCAGACCCCCGCCCGCCGUCCUCCCCCCAGGGGAGGGGCCGCCCCCUCUCUCGCGGGGCCCCGGGCAGGGCAGCCGGCUCCCUGCAGCCGCCCCCCGCGGCGUUCCCUGCGCGCCCCCCCCCCCCGGUCCCUUAUAGCUCCUUCCCCUGCGUGAAAAUCGCCCCCCUUCUCGCGCCUUCCCGCCACACCUGCUCCUGGGGCCCACCUGGAAGGCAGAGCGCUCGCCCGGAGUCUCCCCCUCUUGGCGCCCCCCAUUUACCCGGCCUGACACUGAGCCCUGUCAUCGCUGCGGGAAGAUAAUCGUGCAGUUUGCGCGGUGCAUUGGGCUCAGGGAGCCGGAGGUUUCAAGCCAAUUUCACCGUUUCUCGGGUCAGGUUUUUUAACUUAACUGGAGGAGAGGUCCUCAUUACAUGAGGCAGACACGGUAAUACAGACCGACAUUUCUCAGACUCGACUACCCUGGGGAUCGUGUUUAACUGCGGGUGGUGAUUCAGCGGGUCUGGGACGAAGCCCGAGAUUCUGCAUUUCUGUAAAAAGCCCCCGGGUGAAACCGCUGGGUCAGGGCCGCUGUGCGGAAAGGCUGCAGGUAAAAUUUAGCGCAAAACAGCCCCACCUUGAGCGUUUGGGUAAGACGCACGUGGUUGGGCCCCACCCCCCGGGCUGCUGAGGCCGGAGGUCUGGAGUGAGUGAUGCUGCUGCUGCUGUCUGAGGUCUACACUUAGCGAGCCAAUGCUGAAGACUGUCUAAAUACAUGGCCAGAAACAAACAAAAAACACUAGUAAUUAGCACUCUCAGAGCACCUUCCAUCUUGAAACCACUGUGGUGGUUGCUGUUUCCACCGAAUAACUGACUAGUUCCCCCAAGCAACUCUCGAGAGAGCUGAAGAACCAUGGACUGUGUCUGACCUGACAUGGGGAGGAGGAGAUUUUAUCAUCGGAAUUUUCGUCUGUUUCACACAGUUUGGGGAACUCCAUGUUGUAGGUAUCAUACAUAUUAAUGAGGGGGGAGGGGUCUGACCAGCCACGGGGAAUUUCAUAAAAUACAG